AUGACAACAGAAGACACAGAAAAUAUGACUUUGAUCAGAAUCCUCAUCUGGACUCUCCUCUGCUUAACUCAGGGGUCUGAUGGACAAAAUGUGGUUGUGACUCAGUCAGCAGCCAAAUCAGUGCAGCUUGGUCAGACUGUCACUAUUGAAUGUAAGGCCAGUCAGGCACUUUCAAUAUCUGAUUGCUGGAACGACAAUCUUCCCUGCCUGUCCUGGUAUCAACAAAAACCCAGAGAAGCUCCUAAAGCUCUAAUUUAUGGAACAUCUGCCAAAUAUUCAGGAAUCUCCUCCAGAUUCACUGGAAGUGGAGCAGGAAAUUUUAAAGACUUCACUCUGACCAUCAGUGGAGUCCAGGCUGAAGAUGCAGGAGUUUAUUACUGUCAGAGUUAUCACAGUGGUCCUGUGUUCACACAGUAA